rnacentral:lncRNA from 1 species
AAAUGGCAUUAUUUUGUUCUUUUUGCGGCUGAAUAGUAUUCCACGGUGUAUAUAUAUCACAUCUUCUUAAUCCAUUCAUCUGUCGAUGGACAUUUAGGUCGUUUCCAUGUCUUGACUAUUGUGAAUAGUGCUGCAGUGAACAUACGGGUGCAUGUGUCUUUUUCAAGGAAAGUUUUGUCUGGAUAUAUGCCCAAGAGUGGGAUUGCUGGGUCAUAUGGUUCUAUAUAUAGUUUUCUGAGGUCCCUCCAUACCCAUUUUCUUAAGAGGCUCACAGUCCCUCAGAUUCGAAUGUCACAGCCUGAGCUCAUCUUCCUCCUCCCCAAACCUGACCACCUUCCGAAGUCCCAUCAUCCACCUGGUUGCCAAGAUGGAAACACCAGAUGUUCUGGGUCCUUUCUCUGACUCCACAGCUUCCCAGGCCCCUCGUCCAUAGUCAGAGAUGUUUGAAAGCCUCUGCUCUAGCCCCAUAGGUGCUCAAACUGUGUAUGUUUUGUUUUGUUUUGUUUCCUCACCUGCGGCAUGUGGAGGUUCCCGGGGCCAGGGAUGGCUCAAACUUGCACCACUGCAGUGACACCAGAUCCUUAACUGCUAGGCCACUUGGAAACUCCAAACUCUGCGUAUUUAAAUGACCAAAGAAGCAAAUGAAUGGACCGGCCCUGGUCUGGCAAGUUCUCCCAAUUUGCUGGAUUUCUCAGGAUUCACGGCAUUUCAGCUCAUAGAACAGUCCCACCAGUGGCAGCAGCAGGAGGAGCUAGAAUUAGUGCCCACUUCCUUUCAGUGGAGAUUCCAGGUUGGCAGCCUCUCGUAGUCACUAUCUUUCCAAGAACACUCCUUGACACACCAAAUCCCUGGUAUUUCUCUGUGUGAAAGACUAUGAGGGGAGUCUGAGAAGCACCAGGUCAAGCAAAGAUGAAUAAUUGCCUUUAUUGCAGGCCUUCUUAGAGCUUUAUGCUGAGGGACAGUGUGAAUAUCAAAGAGGAAUGUAGAGCUGGCAUCACUGUCUAAGUUUAUUUGAAUACCAAACCUUUCCUCAGUCAUAACAGCCAAAAGGUGGGAAUAACUCAACUGAUGAAUACAUAAUCAAAAUGUGGGAUAUCCAUGCAAUGGAAUAUGAUUUGGCCAUUAAAAAGGAAUGAAGUACUGACACAUGUUACAACAUGGCUGGACUUUGCAAACAUGAGGCCAAGUGAAAGAAGCCAGACACAAAAUACCACACGUUAUAUGACUCCGUUUAUAUAAAAUGUCCAGAAUAGGCAAACCUAUAUCCACAGAAGGUAGCAUGGUGGUCGCCUAGGGCUUGGGAAGUUGGGGAAUUGGAGGGGAUAGUUGAAGGGCAGAGUUUCUUUUAGAAAUGAUGAAAAUGUUCCAAAAUUGAUUGUGAUGAUGAUGGUACAACUUUGGAUGUACUAAAACCCAUCAAAAUGAAGGACCUGUGUUCCAAGGAACUUGCUUGGAAAACAAUGAUCUAAGCCAGGCCAACCGGGGCCCCCUGGUGGCCUGGAGGACAGGGUUCACCUGCAGAUCUUGAACUUGCCCAGAGGAAGUCAACAUGGUUUUCUCUGUGAAGAGAGCCAGAGUCAAAGUGCCCUGCUUCCUUACGUUCUGCCCGAGGGUGCAGGGACAGAGCCAGGGCUGGGUAUCUCCCUUUGGGACCUGGGCAGAGAGGACUGGCCUUUCGAUUGCUUGAUGCUUGCCUACCAGCCUCACCUGGGAACGGGCAGGCGGGGCCGUGCUGUCCCAUAGGGGCCCUCUGUCCUGGCAGGGAAGCCAGCCCAAAAUAGCGCAGGCUGGGACACCAGUUGGGAAACCAGAUGGGAAAGUCUGGGGCUUGGGAAGGAGCAGAUGUGGGUUUUGUUCCCAGUUCUGCUGCCUUCCUCUGUGACCUUGGGUGCAGCGUUCAGUCGGGGUCUGAACUUUCCCACUUUGGAAAAGAAGAAAUGAAUUUCUGCUCUCUCUCAACAAGUCUUCUAGAGGAAUCCAAGCUGAAGACUGUUAAGGCUGGAAGGGACUCUGUUGCUUGAAUCUACUUUCUACUCUUCCCACCAAGCAGACCUGCUUGAAGCCUUCCAGUAACAGGGGGCUCACUACCUCCCAUUUCAUUGCUCAGUAGCUGUGGCUGGGGCUGUGAGAAGCCCUUCCUUUUAUUGGCUUGACUUGUUAUGCUUCUGCUAUGCUGCCCAGCAGCACCAACAACUUUGGGAUCUCCGACCUCCCUAGGUGCCAGGAGGCCACUCCCCACUCAGAACAAGCUUGCACAUGCCUACUUGUUCAGGGCCAGUGUCCUGCACCAUUCCAGCCCCCAGCCUGUCCCUUACCUCCCUGGCCCGGGCCACCUGUCCCAGCCUCCCGUCACCUCUCAGGUGAUGCCGUGUGAUGCGCUGGCUGCCCCCUUUCCCAGCUGCAACUUCUGCUUGUGGCUCAGAUGAGCAUUCCUGACCUCGGCAAGGAACACUGAGCACCCACUGGGCCCAGGAGGCUCCUCCCCACCCCCUGAGCCUGUGACUGUCAUUCUUUCUGGGUGUCCUGGUCUCCGUGGGCUGGGAGGGCGGCGCUGACACCCUGGACAGCCCACCAACUCUUUGGAGAUAGUGACCACGUCCAUCUUGUGUCUGUGUCCCCAGCUCGGGGUGAACUCCCAAGUCCCUCUCCCCCAAACUGCCCACCCUCUCCAGGACCACAGCCUCUGAUUGCAGGCCUCCAGCCCAGCCUGACCAGGGCAGCCAGGCCAGAGCAAGACCAGAUAGGGCAGAGGAGCAUUGCCUGUCUACCUUCUAGAACCCGCCUUCUCUUAAUGCCUAGAUGUAUAAGGUCACAGGGAGGGGAAUACCCUUGGCAUCCAGGAAUGGCAUUCUCAGAUGUACCCGCAGUGGCACCACUGUCUCCCUUGUUCCAUGCCCUGAUGGGUGAUGUCCCCAAGGUGGUUCCCUCCCUUGCUGUGUGACUUCACGAGGUCCUCCCCCUUGCUGCCCAGCCCCCCAGGGCUUUGUGUCCUUUUCCAUGCAUUGAUAAAUUGGGUUCUGCCACCGGCAAGCCUCUCUGGCUCUUCAGGGCGGCCUGGUGUCCAGGCCCCCUGGCCCCUACUCUGGACAUCCCCGCUAUGUCGGGGGUCUCAGCCACCACGGCCCCGGGUCUGGCUGGUGCUCAGCAGCCACAUCCCGCACGCGGCUGCUGUCCCCGUGAGUCACUCACUGCACCACGGCGUGUUUAUUAGGACGGCGGGAGCUCAUUUUGCCAACUUUGGAACCACGGGAGCUGGCUAAGUUUAGAACAAGCCUUGAGCAGGAGGACGCCGUGUUCCUUCUCCUUCUGGCAAAACACGAGACUUGAGCUAUUCUUUUCAUCUUCAUUCUCCCAGACAAGUCCUAAGCUUCAUUUACCACUAGAUCUGCCUUCUCCCAACACAAACUCCUCUAUAAUUAAGGCGGGGGUGGGGUGGGGGGGAGAACACCCCCAGCCAUCCCAGAGUUGAAAACAUCAGAUUAUUGGAAGGUUUCAAGGGACAUAACAAAGGCUCUGGAAAAAUAGGAUGCUCUUAUACUUAAAGCAGACGUACUUAAUCCAGUUCUUGUGGCUGGGAUUCCUGGGCCAUAGGAACUCCCUAAAUUCUUGGUUGAAUGCACUUUUCCCUGGGGAGAUGGCCUGUAGCUUUUAUCAGAUUCCCAAAGGGGUUCACGACUCCCCCUAAAAAUUACAAAGCUCACUUUAAAAAAGAUGAUGGUCUUGUGGGUGCCUUGCAGACUCCUCCCCAGCGCUGGGUUUCCAUGAUUAGGUAUCAGAUGCCCUCUCAGGGUCUGUACUGGGCGUGAAGCCUCCAGAACCUGGGUGAGGCUGGACUUGCUGAAACGGCGCUGCUGGGAGGAGAGAGGUCUGGACCAUUGGGUCUGGAGGGUAGUGAAGGUGCCGUUGAAACUUGGGGAGUAGGUCAGAUGGGCCAGGGCGAGUGUUUCAGAAUUAAGAGGGUAAUAUAAAGGGAAGUGAGAGGCCAGUUGGGAUGUGCUACCAGCUAAAUCAGACACUGAGAUGGGUCCACUAUUAGCACUUAAAGGACCAAGAAGUGUCGGUCUGCUUUUAUUUAUGCAACUCUCAGUGAGUUGCCAUUUUCCAUUCUGGGGAACUUGUACUUUAGACUUGCUGGCACUCACUUAUUCUGGUGGCUGCCUUAAAUUAACUGUGCUCCUUCCUGUCCCCUAAGCCUACUGCCCCCAAGUCAUAUGUUCUGCAAAUAGGGGGUCCAUGACCUUGACAUGAAAAUUCCCGUGAGUGUUACCGAGAUCCUAUAUGAUUGGGAAAGUAAGUUUGCUGUCAAAAGAAAAUAAGCAGUGAAAUGAUAGAUUCAGGUGUCAAAUGUGACCUUUAGCUUGUCUGCCCCACCUCUAGGGCCCCCUCUUCCCCCACACGGUUAACAGAGUGUUGUAUGGAUUCUGCCAUAAGUCUCCGCAGUGUGAAACUGGAG